ACGUGAAACCGAUGAGGUGGAAACGGACAGAGCUGGCGUAUCUGGCCUGUAUUCAGCCGUGGGCUCGCUGGCGUCAGGGAUGCCGCUCUCCAGAUUGGGACGGUGGCCUGUCUGCCGGUGGGUUUGUGGUGCAUUUGCAGGUGGAGUGCGCCGAGGCGCUCGGGUGCAGCGGCAUGAGCCCAGUUUUGAGGCCAGCCUCGCAAGAGGUCUGGUACCCGGACUGUUGGGGAGUGCUGUUUGCCCUGGGUGUACAAAAAGGGUAAUGGUCUCGGGCCCGGGUGGGCGCCGAGCUGGCAGUCGGAGGCGGUCGCAUGCGACACGUGCCAGCGGUCAGUUCGGUCCUGCUCGAGCUCACAUCUGCCCGUCCUCGGUGUAAAAGCCGGUCAUCUGUCCGACACGUCUUGAAACACGGACCAAGGAGUUUAUCGUGUGCGCGAGUCAUUGGGCGUUGAAAACCCAAAGGCGCAAUGAAAGUGAAGGUCUCCCUUGCGGAGCUGAUGUGUGAUCCCGGGCGCUGUG
rnacentral:rRNA from 1 species